rnacentral:rRNA from 1 species
AAACCUGANAAACCCAAAAGAUCGAAUGGGGAGAUUCAUCGUCAGCGGCGUUGGCUUCCGUGUGGACUGCGAUGUCCGGGACCUCGGUUCCGUGUCACGCGUUCGCUGCGGUAUGUCCGGCGUCGUCGGCGUGCACUUCUCCCCUAGUAGGACGUCGCGACCCGUUGGGUGCCGGCCUACGGCCCGGUUGGUCGACUGUCGCGUCGCGUUUACGCGUGCACGCGGCAGACCACCGGUCGCCCGGCCGGCUGCCCGGCGGUAUAGAUCGCUAUAAAACGGUAUUGGGCCGCAUUAAGUGCGUUCUGGCCCGUCGGCAGACACGUCUCGCUCGGAUUUACGGACCUAGCGCCGUUGCCGGGUGCUUGGCGUGUUGUUAGUCGACGGUGUCCUCGGACUGGCUCUUACAUUCGAACGGAUUUACCGGUCGGCGACGCUACUGCUUUGGGUACUUU